AGGUAAAAGUUUCAUUUGAUCUGAAUACCUGGAUGAGGAAAAUGAAGAGGAGAAUAUGAAGAAGCGCUUAAGCCCUGCAGGAGGCAAGAAGCCUACGAACUGCUACUUCUGGACACUGACUGUUGAUGAUAUGAUGCUUUCUCUUGAUUGAUGGUUCUCCUGUCAUCAUUCUCCGGAUAUGACUCCCUGCAUGUCUCCUCUGCCACAUGACAGUCCUUUAAUAGAGAAGCCAGGCUUGGGGCAGAUAGAGGAAGAGAAUGAAGGGGCAGGAUUUAAAGCACAUCUUGAUUCUAUGGUGUCAGUAAAGAGGAAGGCUGAGAACAUUGCUUCUGUGGAGGAAGCAGAAGAAGACCUGAGUGGGACCCA